rnacentral:rRNA from 1 species
UACGUAGGGUGCGAGCGUUGUCCGGAAUUAUUGGGCGUAAAGAGCUCGUAGGCGGUCUGUCGCGUCGGUCGUGAAAACUUGGGGCUUAACCCUGAGCUUGCGGUCGAUACGGGCAUGACUGGAGUUCGGCAGGGGAGACUGGAAUUCCUGGUGUAGCGGUGAAAUGCGCAGAUAUCAGGAGGAACACCGGUGGCGAAGGCGGGUCGCUGGGCCGAUACUGACGCUGAGGAGCGAAAGCGUGGGGAGCGAACAGG